AUUGAACGCUGGCGGAAUGCUUUACACAUGCAAGUCGAACGGCAGCACGGGGCAACCUGGUGGCGAGUGGCGAACGGGUGAGUAAUACAUCGGAACGUGCCCAAUCGUGGGGGAUAACGUAGCGAAAGUUACGCUAAUACCGCAUACGAUCUACGGAUGAAAGCGGGGGAUCGCAAGACCUCGCGCGAAUGGAGCGGCCGAUGUCAGAUCAGGUAGUUGGUGGGGUAAAGGCUCACCAAGCCAACGAUCUGUAGCUGGUCUGAGAGGAUGAUCCGCCACACUGGAACUGAGACACGGUCCAGACUCCUACGGGAGGCAGCAGUGGGGAAUUUUGGACAAUGGGCGCAAGCCUGAUCCAGCCAUGCCGCGUGAGUGAAGAAGGCCU
rnacentral:rRNA from 1 species